CGGUGUCACUGGAGGCUGGACGAGUCACUCCCACCACUCCUCCUCCGCUCUCUGCUGUCACAAAGUUUCAUUCUUCAGAGCGCCGCCUUGUCAGCAGAAGCACUCUCUGUAAAAAUGAGGAUCUGUCAGACGUCAGUGGGGCAGAUGUCACGUGUGGAGAAGACAGUGGGGCAACGCUUUAUUCUUGUGUUGAGGUGACAGGGUCCGCGGGAGUCCUCAGGUCCAGCUCCAGGCUCUCAAGAGGCGAGGCUGCCAUAUCGCACCAUCGGCCAUCACUAGUAGGCGGUAGGUGAAGAGUCUUGACCACGGACACAGCGACGGAGAGUGUCUGAGCCGGGGCUCGGACCGACAACCUUCUGAUCACAAGGCGAACUGCCAACUCUUGAGCCACGAUCGCUCUAACUAGUGACGAUAAUAAUACUUAUGUGAUGUAACACAAGCUUAUAGGGAUCAUGUUAUAUACUUUUCCAUAGCAUUACAUUUGAAUUCAACAGUUCAAUCUUUCAAAUAACGGACAGAUAUUUGUGAAAUCAUGAUACAUUUGUGAAUGUAUUUUUACAAUCUAAAUAUGCAUAUGUACAAAAAAAUUUAUUUAAAAAACAAGUAAAUUGUGUUUUAUUACAUUUACAGUGAUGUUAUGUUAUUUUACAUUUGACAUGCCAGAUCACAGUCUACUUAUGUAAAUGUAAUGAUAUUCUAGAAAAACAGUACACAACUGUAAAAUACACUGUAAAAUAAUUUGACAUUUCUAUUUUUUGGAACAGUGCAGGUAACAAAAGCUCAAUGCUGGGCCUAGCAUUCUGGAGCACUUCUGUUGUGUUUUCUUCGUGUUUUGGAGUUUUUACGUGCUUCUGAGUUUUUAUGUGUUUUGGAGUUUGUACGUGCUUCAGGGUUUGUACGUAUUGUGAAGUUUGUACGUGCUUUGUCUGUAGGGGCCACCGUAAAUAUACUUUUAUUUAUUCACUCCACAUAAAAUGUAAUAAAUAAAUCAUAUAAAACGAAAACCAACUAGUCACAGUUCAACUUUUAACUAUUUAAAUUUUCAGCUUUUUUUUUUUAAAUGAAACAACACAAAAUGCUGCAAACCACAACACAAUUAAAUAUAAAUGAAAAUAUGAAAACAAAAAGAAGAUGCACAUUCUCAGUCAUAUGGGCCUGCAUGAAUAAACUUUCUGAAUCCUGUAUCAUCCGCAACUGAAAAUAGUUGUGGACGAUUACUAUACCUUUCUAAUGUGACGUUGUUGUCCCUGGCUCUCUUUCUCUGUCUCUCUCCCUCCUGCUCUGUUCCUGUGCUACUGCGAGUGUAACUACCCCAUUUUUGCACAUGUCGAGGAGCGUGUCAGGUUACAUUUCACUGUGUGUUAUACUUGUAUAACUAUGCAUGUGACAAAUAAAGAACCUUGAACCUUGUUAACUAUUUAUUUUAAUUUCAAUUCAAG
ensembl:lncRNA